GAUUUCAUGGGAAACAACUGAAGAGAAGCUUAAGGAGUAUUUUCAAGGAUAUGGGGAUGUUUUGCAGACAGUUGUUAUGAGGGAUAAGAUUUCUGGGAAGCCAAGAGGAUUUGGGUUUGUUGUUUUUGCAGAUCCUAAUGUUCUUGAUAGGGUUCUACAAGAUGAACAUGUUAUUGAUGGACGUACGGUUGAUGCUAAGAGGGCCUUGUCGAGAGAGGAGCAGCAGGGCUCAAAAUCUGGAAACACAAAUAGUGCCAGAAAUUUUGGAGGUGGUGGAAACACCAGGACUAAGAAAAUUUUUGUUGGGGGAUUGCCUCCCACUUUGACCGAGGAAGGAUUCCGACAAUAUUUUGAAAGUUUUGGUAAUGUCACUGAUGUAGUAAUUAUGUAUGACCAGCAGACCAACCGACCUCGUGGGUUUGGUUUCAUCUCAUUUGAUUCUGAAGAUGCAGUAGAUAGAGUUUUACAGAAGCCCUUUCAUGAUCUGAAUGGUAAACAGGUAGAAGUAAAGAAAGCUCUUCCUAAAGAUGCUAACCCCGGUGCUGGUGGCCGUUCCAUGGGCGGCGGAGGCGGUAGUGGUAUGGGUGGUGGAAGUUAUCAGGGGUAUGGUGGAUCAGGUAACAAUCCAAGUUCUUAUGACAGUAGAAUGGAUUCCAACAGGUACAUGCAAACUCAAAAUGCUGGAGCUGGCUAUCCUUAUGGUUCGUCUGGGUAUGGUACCCCAGGCUAUGGCUAUGGGCCAUCCAACAAUGGUAUGGGCUAUGGAGGUUAUGGAAGUUAUGGCGGAGCAAAUCCGGGCUAUGGGGGUGCCAAUCCUGGCUAUGGUGCUGCUGCAGUUGCUGCAGCCUAUGGAAAUCCAAAUGCAGCCAGUGCUGGUUAUGGAAGUGGUCCAGCGGGUGGACCAAGAAGCACAUGGGGCUCUCAGGGUCCUUCUGGGUAUGGGAAUAUGGGCUAUGGUAAUGCCCCUUGGGGUGCUGCAAAUGCUGGUGGUGGUGGUGGUGGACCUGCUAGUGGAGGAUCUGGUCAAUCUCCAACUGGAACCGCAGGAUAUGGGAACCAAGGUUAUGGUUAUGGGGGUUAUGCUGGUAAUGAGGGUGCCUAUGGAAAUCAAUCUGGUUAUGGUGCUGUUGGACGUGCUAGUGGUGCUCCUAGUGGUAACUCACCCGUUGGAGGUGGUGCUGCAGGAGACAUGCAAUCAGGUGCUGGGGGUUACAUGAACAGUGGCUAUGCUGAUGCAAGUGGAAACUCUAGCUAUGGGAAUUCAGCAUGGAGAUCUGAUAACUCACAAAGUUCUGGUAAUUAUGGUGCCCCACCAAAUGGAGCUCAUGGUGGCCAAGUUGGAUAUGGUGGUGGAUAUGGUGGUGCCCCCAGUCGGCAAGCUCAGCAGCAGUGAAUGAGAUGCUUCGUGUUGUCUCGGACUUCAUCUCUUUUACUGGAGAGUUUUGCGUCACUUUUGCGUUUCACAUGCAGAGUGCUGCUCUUGCGAGGUGUCACCUGCUAAAUGAGACUGGUUGGAUUGCUUGAAUCCCUAGUAGUUUGCAGUAUUUAUUUCUAGUUUAUAAUAACUAGUACUGUCGCUAGUAUUACCUAUUUCGUGUUAUUGUUGUUAAGUGCAGUCUUAAUCUCGCUUGCUUAUGAUUAUGUUUGUUAGUUAAUG
rnacentral:misc_RNA from 1 species